rnacentral:lncRNA from 1 species
GUGACUCCGACGAGGAAGAGGACAGCGAGGAGGACGAAUUGGAGGACACGAAGAUCGUACAUCCUCAUGUCCACACCAUUUCGUUUCAGAAGCGACAAGCACUUGGUUGAGCUCAUUUAAAUCCCAUCCUGCUUGUGGGUUUGAUCACAUUAAAAUCUGACUCGAUUCUUCUUGGAUUGGUUGCAGUGACAUACCUGGAGAACAAUGGGGCAGGAAUCACCAUAUUUGGAUUCACGGUGGAUCGCUCCUGGCUUUGCACCCUAUUCACGCUUGAAAUUUCUC